GUGUCGGCUCUGGCUUAGUACUCAGAACCAUGUAUAUGCCAAAUAGUAUGUGACAAGCAAAAAAAACUUUCACGUGGAACAUCAUUGCGUUACCUAUGUUAACACUACACAGUUUUGGUGUUCACUAUGUGUUUACGAAGCUGGCUACAUUUUUUUUGAUACCAGAUUAAAAGAUUUCCUGAAGAAUUGAAAGUUUUCAAGAAAACAUGAAUGUACUUUCAAACUAGUUUUAAAAGUUGUCAAAGUAGAUUAAAAACAAAUGUAAAUACAGUUAACAAAAACACUUAAUAUUUUAAGAGCUUAAUAAAACAAUACAGAUAUCU